rnacentral:tRNA from 1 species
GGAGAGGUGGCAGAGUGGUCGAAUGCACUGGUCUUGAAAACCGGCAGGGCGGCAACGUCCUCAAGGGUUCGAAUCCCUUCCUCUCCG